rnacentral:rRNA from 1 species
UACGAAGGGGGCUAGCGUUGUUCGGAAUUACUGGGCGUAAAGCGUACGUAGGCGGAUUGUUAAGUGAGGGGUGAAAUCCCGAGGCUCAACCUCGGAACUGCCCUUUCAUACUGGCAAUCUUGAGUCCGGGAGAGGUGAGUGGAACUCCUAGUGUAGAGGUGAAAUUCGUAGAUAUUAGGAAGAACACCAGUGGCGAAGGCGGCUCACUGGCCCGGAACUGGACGCUGAGGUACGAAAGCGUGGGGAAGCAAACAGGG